GACGAACGCUGGCGGCGUGCUUAACACAUGCAAGUCGAACGGAAAGGCCCUGCUUUUGUGGGGUGCUCGAGUGGCGAACGGGUGAGUAACACGUGAGUAACCUGCCCUUGACUUUGGGAUAACUUCAGGAAACUGGGGCUAAUACCGGAUAGGAGCUCCUGCUGCAUGGUGGGGGUUGGAAAGUUUCGGCGGUUGGGGAGGGACUCGCGGCUUAUCAGCUUGUUGGUGGGGUAGUGGCUUACCAAGGCUUUGAGGGGUAGCCGGCCUGGGAGGGUUACCGGCCACAUUGGGACUGAGAUACGGCACAGACUCCUACGGGAGGCAGCGGUGGGGAAUAUUGCACAAUGGGCGGAAGCCUGAUGCAGCAACGCCGCGUGCGGGAUGACGGCCUUCGGGUUGUAAACCGCUUUCGCCUGUGACGAAGCGUGAGUGACGGUAAUGGGUAAAGAAGCACCGGCUAACUACGUG
rnacentral:rRNA from 1 species